GCUAUCAUUUUUCUCUUCCCCUUCACCGAAAUAUGCAGCAAAGAAAGGGUUUUAAAGCUGGAAAAUUUCAGCAACAUAUUUCCCUUGCUUAUGAUGAAAAUUGAGACUUGGACCUAGAACGGAAAGAAAUCGAUUUAUGGACGAGUAUGUCCUUUUCACCUUUGUGGUAUCGAGGUAAGUUCGUAUGUAAACAAUACCAUGCUAUACAUGUAUUUAAAUGUUAUCAUUACAUGAAUUGUACAGAUAUUAAUGUGUAUGUGAUUAAUAGAAAUAUGAUAAGACAAAGCCUUAAUAGACGAGGAAAAAUCCCGUUUGAACCUUAGGAAUAGAAGAGGAUACGAGUGACAUGUCACUAGGAAUUAUGAGUCUAGAUGACUAGCUCGAGAGUGAGCAUUGAAAUGUCAUGAGAUAUGAGGUAGCUUUAGCUACAAUUGAGGCACUUAUGUGCAAAGGCUUUUCCGAGUAUCCAAUUAGUAUUCCAAGUGUUCAACGGGCAAUCCAAGGAAAGAGUUGAUGAUGGUCCCAAUAAGGUAAGUCAUUGGUGAGUAUGCACUCGAGUUAUGUUACGAGUUGUGCAAGUAUGUAUACUAAUCCUAUGAGAAUGCCUUGAUAUGUGAUGAUCUAUGAUGCAUAAUAUGUGUUCUUACCAUGAUGGAUAAAA